CUUACCCUAAACCAUCUGUUCGAGUUGAUCUUUUUUUUACAACCACUUCGACGUCCUUAUCAUCGCUUCCUACUAUACUCGAAAAUGUCAUCCAUCGAUACAGACUAUCUGAUGUUCGCAGCGAUUGGCAUCAUCUACUGUGCCUUGGUUGUGUGUAUUGGCAAAGACGCCUUUCGCGCGAUUUUUACACCAGGGAAAAAGGAGCAAUACUGUUGCCCAAGACACGGUACACAACAAUCGUUCAACCAACAUCGCAAGAUGGCAUAGGCAAAACCCUACAUCCUUAUUUUAGUUGAUAAAGGACUCGGCUGAAGAAAAUCCUGCUUGAAGAUGCUUGAGGAACGCCGGCCAAGAAACGCAAUAAUAACGAACACAAAAACAAAAAGACUGAAGCAUUUUGUCUUCUAACUGUCACUUUUUAAAAAGAGUUGUUACCGUAUUUACUCAUGUAUCAUGCGCACUUUUUUCAAAUGCAAAAUGACCUUCAAAAUCGGGGUCCGCAUUAUAAAAUGAAACUUUUUGUUUGAGAGGUAGAAAAUUUGCAUAAUAAUAAAAACAAUAGAAAGCCCUU